rnacentral:misc_RNA from 1 species
AACGCACAUUGCGCCCGCUAGUAUUCUAGCGGGCAUGCCUGUUCGAGCGUCAUUUCAACCUCUCAAGCUCUGCUUGGUGUUGGGGCACUAUAACUUAGGUGUUAUAGGCCCUGAAAAUCAGUGGCGGGCUCGCCGACACUCCGAGCGUAGUAGUUUAUAUUCUCGCUUAGGAUGUUUUGGCGGGGUUCUAGCCGUAAAACACCCCCUAUCAAAAGGUUGACCUCGGAUCAGGUAGGAAUACCCGCUGAACUUAA